CAAUUGGCUUUUUUCAAAGUCACCAUAAAUAAAUUAAUAAUAUGAA
rfam:Operophtera brumata OBRT01_Sc00136, whole genome shotgun sequence.